CGCGGGUGGUACCCCUCUCCCAUCUCUCGUUCGCGCCGCUUUGAUUGCCUCCUGCACUGCGAGUGUUUGGGCACGUUUCGUGCCGCGCGCGGUGUGUGCCUACAUGUGUGCGCGUGGACAUUUCCUUCGAAGGGCGGUGUACAGUCUGUUUCGCAUUUAGGGGAAAACUCGGAGCGCAUUGUAUCGCGAUGCGGCGAGCGCUUGAGUCAGGCGGCGGCAGCAGCUGGCGCAGGUGCUCGAGGUGCGCCGCGGGCGGGAUCUUGAACGGCGUCGUCUGCUACGGCGGCGCGCGCUGGCCGCAUUGUCGGGAAGCGUUCUACUUCUGUCAGUUGCACGGCGCCGAUCUCAUCGUUACUGCGCGAAAUGAGCCGGUAUUCUUUACUAAGCGUUGUGCGACGCCCACUGAUACGCCUCGAAGGUAAGUUCAUCGCUGCAGGGCAGUCAUAGACGAUCGAAGUACUGAUUCCAUACAUUCUUGACGGCCCGUUUCUGGAAGGCGACUAUAUAUUCUAACGCGAUAGGUCGCCGAUCCACACUGCUCGUGUUGUGCAACAACUGCUAGAAGAGUGCGCAGUCACUCUCUUGGAGUGGCCGCCUCAAGCCCCGGGCGCCAACGCCAUUUAAUAUGUCUGGGGCUCGUUGAAAGUAUCGCUGGCGCACCGUCCCCUCUAUCAGUCGCCCGAGGAUAGGCUUCGAUCCACCAUCGUCAGGGACUGAGACGUGCUGCGAAUGAACACAUCCCUGAUCAAGUCAUUCUGCACUUCACUGCCUUCCAGGAUGAGCGCUGUCAUCGCUGCCGCUAUGGGUGGGGACAUGUAGAGAUACUAACUGAAGUUCUGAGCGUGACGUGUCCAAUUCCCCGCCGGCGGGCAGAGUCUGUCUGGUGUAGCGAAUGAUUGUCGAGAAAAAUCAUUUCCAGCUCAUUGUCUGAACCUAAAACGUUCAUUUAAUUGUAUCCGUUUGUUUCAUCGUGUUCAACUCCCAUAUAUAGUUAUCAUUGUUGAGUGCUUUGUUUUCCUUUCGAGUCAAACAAAGACUGAACACGUUGCGCGCACAUCUUGGUGCGUCUUGUCGCUGCUUAUUACGGUAGCACACACAGUGAAGAAAUAUACGUGCACUGCCCCUGACAGUAGCACGCUUCCCAACAAUGCGGCCAGCACGCGCCGCCGUAGCAGACGACGCAGAUCACGACACUUGCCCCUCGAGCGUCUGCGCCUGCUCGAGCUGCUGCCACCGCACGACUGCAUUGCUUGCCGCAUCGCGAUGCAAUACGUUCCCAGUUUUCCCCUAAGUGUGAAACAGACUGUACACGCUUCUAUUUGCCUUUAAGAAGAUCGGCACGCUUGACGAUUAUUUUUAUGGCUGCAAUGCGGUGAAAGGGCAGCGUCUGCUUAACCAUGUAAGUGACGCUGAGCAGGUGAUUGGAAACGACAUCGUAUGUACCUCCGGAAAAAUCGUCAGCACAUAUACGAUGCGGCACAUACAUACGGCACAUAUAUACGAGCUAAAGUCAUUUUUGCAGUUUCUCACAAUAUGUUUGCUACAAAUCCGUGUUGUCUCUGAUGGCGACAACGGACUUCCAUCGACACUGUGCGGAAAUAAAGAAAAUAUAUCGCUGCAUAGCACAAGUACGACAUGCGCACACAACUUUAACUAGUGCGUCCCCUACAAUAUGGAAUAGAGGCAGCAAUGUAGACAGCUUGGCCAUUUUUUAACAGUGCUCAAGAGACGGAAGUUGAAAGUAUUAGUAAUCAUUCCUGCUUCAGCAAUGCCGGCGCGACCAAGACGCGGGCGUGUAUCGUCCAGUAACUCGGUCGAUCGGUGCAGUGGUGAAGCGGGAAUGAACUCCGGUCAUGUUCAAUGCAUCGUGCACAUAUUCAAUUUCUCGGUACGCAUGAACUUCGGCCACUGCUAGCGCAUACAAGAGAAGUGGUUUCAAUUCUUGGGCAGCGCACACAUAAACGAAGCACGAGAAAGAAGACAGGACAAGCGCUCGUCGAACAACUUAAAGUUUUUAUAUGAAUAAAAGGAUUAUGUACCGAGUAAUUAUUAAAUUCAUGUGGGUUACAUAUAAAAACCGUCAUACACUCAGGAGUGAUCAAUGAACGAGCUCGCUUCGUUUUUCAGUUGUUUACUUCGCUCGGCGCACCACAGUAAUCUCUGUCUGUCGUAUGCUUUUUUCGUACAAUUUUCUUGUGAAUCGGCAGAAUUUCACUGGUGGCAUCAACCCUUUCGUGUUUACAUUGCUGUCGUGACAGUUAACUAUACAAUAAUAAUUUCCGGUCAAGCGAGGCACCGUCGCAAACAAGAGACGUGUGCCGCGCAGCGCGAACUGCACGCGGGCGCGAUCGUGAAGCGAUCGCGCUUCACGAUUGAAGCGCGACUAUGUUUGGAGGGAACAAACAUUGGGAAAGAAAAACGCGUUUUUUAAUUCAAGCGAGACACAGUUAGAUUCAUUCAACGAAAAUAAAAUUCCUACUCAAUUUUAUAUAUUCGUGAAGAGUUAAGAAAAUACAAGUUUAUUUAUUUAAUAUCACUCAGUAGCAUACCAUGCGAGGUUCUGGAGCAUAUAAUCUUCUCUAAUCUGGUCACCUUCCUAGACUCUAACUCCGUCUUUAGGAAGCCACAGCAUGGAUUUAGGUAACCGUUCUCAUGUGAAACACAGUUUCUAUGCUUUACCCAUUCCUUACACACCAUUCUAGAUCGUGGUUCCUGGGUCGACUGUAUCUUUUUGGACUUUUCCCAAGACUUUUGACAAGGUUAACCACCACCUAUUACUCUCCAAGCUAAGGAGCCUAAAUAUCAACAGCAAAAUUGUAACUUUUUGGAUUGAGUUCCGUUUAACUAAUCGCUUACGGUAAGUUGCUGCCAAUAAUUCUACCUCACUGCAGUCACCUGUUACCUCUGGCAUAUGCCCCAAGGCUCUGUGUUGGGUCCUUUGCGUUUCCUCAUCUAUAUUAAAGAUUUACCCGAUUGUGUUAGCUCUUCAAUUCACCUCUUUGCAGAUGACUGUGUCAUAUUUACUGUGAAAUUUCAAGUAACCUAGAAGUUUGUUCUCUGCAAACUGAUAUCUCUAAUAUUGCUCAUUGGUCCAGAACUUGGUACAUGAAACUAAACACUAACAAAUGCUAAGUUUUGCGCAUUUCACGGACUAGCAGACUUCCUGCUAUUUAUAACCUAAACGCUACUCUAGAAUUUGUUACUUGUUUUAAAUACUGGGGAUUCAUAUAACAUCUGAGCUGGAACGAUCACAUUAACUACGUUAACAAUGGCAAUUGCAUGCUAGGAUACCUACGACGUAACUUUAGUUGUGUUCUUGUAAGUGUGAAACUAGCAAUGUAUAAAACACUAGUGUGCCCAAAACUUGAAUGUGCAUGCUCUAUUUGGGAGCCCUCUCAAUUGCACUUAACUUUUUCAGAUGAUACAGAAUAAUGCAGCACAUUUUAUAUUAUCUAUCCCACUACACUAGUAGUAGCACGUCGAUGAAACACAUCUUUUCCUUGCAGUCACUUGUCUCACGUCGCAAGGCAUGUUGUCUUACACUUUUCCAUAAGGUAUUCCAUCAUCAAGUUUUCAAAGCUAAAUUCAUUUUACGACCCCAUCUUAUCAUUCAGUCUGCUUAGAACAUCACCACAAGGUACACGUCACUACUUGCUGCACUAACACUUUUUUUUUAUUCUUUCGUUCCACGCACGUCCGAUGACUGGAACCACGUUCCCUCCGAUAUCGUUUUCAUGUCAGGCCACAACUUUUGUGCAACCAUACACAAUUACUUAUUUGAUGAUGCGUGAAGUGUGUGUGCGUGCAUACAUGUUAAUUUUUUUAUAUAUAUGCUGUUUCUCGCGUUAUACCUUAACUCUAACUUUCUUUUUUGUUAGCCUAACACUGCUUCCUCAUAUCUUUUGUAGAUUAUAUUAUAUUUGAUAUCUUGUGUUUUUAUUUAAUGUACCCCACUCCCCUCUCUAAAGCUUUGUGCGCUUGAGGGUGAAAUAAAUAAAUACUUUAUAUGCUCCAUAUAGCUCAUGUGGAAUGCCAGCUUCUCAAGACUGGUCUUUGUUCUACUCUUGAGUAUGUUGAUGAGGAAAUAAAGGGAUGUGGGGUAUUACAUUACCUUUCUAUAUGGAUGGUGGUGAUGGUGAAACUUCAUUUCCGAAAAGGUCCUGAAGGACACCCGACUGUUCAAGGUGUAGACGGCACCUCCAACGUUGGGACGGGGAGCUCUAGGUUCUCCACCCCUUCGUGGGCCUUCUGGGCAGCCCAGAGUUGGUCUUGUAGCUCGCUGCUCUUAAAAGUGUCAUCCCACUUGUUCUUGUCCUCCAGGCUUGCGUUGCACAUCUCCACAACAUGUGUCCCAAGUUCACGUGUCGGUCACACUAUGCACAAUUGAAUGAUCUGUUGUAGUCCAGGUUGUAGUAUAGUGUCGCCCCUGUCAGAUCUCUGUGUUAUCAUACAUUUAUGUUUCGUAGUAGUUUAGCUAGAUGGCGCACCCCCUUCUGUCAUGUGACGAGCUGGGACCAAUCAGGAGGUGUCAUCUGGCAUGUGAAGUCCUUUUUAGUAAUAAACGGCCGAGGGUCGGCUGAGUCUUCAUUCCGGUUUUCAUCGGGAGCAGUUAGCUCCGAGAUCCUUCACUGCGUCGGCGCUCGCCGCGCGUUCGCUGGCCGGGGGCCCCACUUGCCUGCCGCUGCCGACACAACACAGGUCAAUUCGGGUCAUACGCCAAGGAUUGGGGUACGAAUUCGUCUGUAGCAAGCGGAGAGUGACUGACUGUGCCCUGUUAAGUCUCUUCUUUGGAAGAGAGAAUUCUCUACGUCCUAAAUAGAAGUGCUUGGCGAGGUCAUUACAUGUCUGAAGUUGAUCUUUAAAGGCCUUAGGAGGAGACAAGGGGGUCUGCAGGGGAGUGCGGCUGGCAAGUCCUCGCAUGGCCGUAUGAGCGGAUUCGUUAAGGUUCCAAUGUUCUCCCACAAUAUUGCCCAUAUGAGCUAGGAAUCAAACUGUAGAGUGGAGGCUAAUGGAUCUACGUUCGAGUAACUUGGAAGCCUUUGCAUCUACCACUCCCCCUAGCAAAGGUGCGAGUGACUGUCCUAGAAUCACUAUAGAUUACCGAGCGCUGUGGAUCUAGCAGAGUGAGUGCAAUGACCAUUUGUUCGGCAACCUCCGGAUUCUUAGUGUAAACAGUGUGUUGCAGACUCGUUCGUGGGCGUCUAUUACGGCUACCAAAAAGCGUCACGACUGACGCUUGGGUGGCAUGACCUGGGUGGCAUCUAUGAGGACAGCAUCCGUAGCAGCCUCGGCAAGAAGAGCCUUUGCAGGGGCGAGCCUUCUCCCUUGGUUAAAGACUGGGUGGACGUUAAUUUAAAAAUUAAUUAAUUUCAAAAAGCUCGGUGGAUGCGUUGAACGGUAGCCCCAGGGCUACCUUGAAGACUCGAAGGAUGGUGGUAUCGAGGAGUUUCUCUUCUGUUUUCUUCCAAUCGAGCAUAGCUGCAACAUAUGACAAAGGACGAAAGCGUGAAUGAGCCUAAUGGCACAUUCCUCGCUCGUGCCUCUAUUUCUAUUAAUUGACACAUUCAUAGAGCAUUCUCCACUUUGCCAGUUAUCUUUUGUAUCAUCAAGCCAUUGGAUCCGUCAUCUUAGUCCUAGGACUCUGAUCGACCCUACUUCAGGGAUGUGGUUACCACUCAUGUCAAAGAGCUCAAUAUGGCGCCUACUAUCUUGCUCCCAACCCUUGGGUUUUCGUCCUGGCCUGGAAGGAUGGUAAAAGAGCAAUUCCAAUUUCCAUGACGAGCAUUUAAGGCCCGCUAGAGAAAGGUAGAGUUCCGUGAUCCUCCUGCAUUCGAGCCUCCAACUCUCUGUCGCUGCUUCCAGCACUGCACAGAGUAACAUCAUUGGCAUAAAUGGCGUGUUCGACCCCCUCAAUGUCCAACAAUCUUUUGGCCAACUUGGCCAUGACCAGAUUGAACAGGAAGGGAGACAAUAUCGAGCCCUAUGGAGUGCCCCUGUCACCUAGUGCAUAAAGUUCUGAUUUUAAGUCACCAAUGCGCAAGGAAGCGGUUCUGCCGUUCAUAAAAGAUUGAAUAUAGCGGAAAAAGUGUUCACCAAGAUUAAAAUUCAAAAUGGCCUGAAGAACUGCGAUGUGGCGUACAGUGUUGAAAGGCCCUGUCUACAUCAAGACUGAGUAUGACCCUUGUAUCGCAAGUGACCCUUUCUAUGAGCCUCUUCUUAAUUCUAAGCAUAGCAUCCUGGGUCGAAAGUCCUGGACUGAAUCCGCUCAUGGUGUAUGGAACGUGGGCACGUCGGCUGGCCUGUGGGCACGUCGGCUGGCCUCCUGUCAACAUGAGGCUAAAUCCGUUCCUGUUCUUCAUGCAGUUCCUUCUUGGCUGGACAGUGACGGUCGGCGCAUUACAAGAUGGAGCACAGCCGUUUAUCACCGCUACCGCCCCUGCUCAAGAUUAUGCACAUGACUGGCAGCACUACAACGACACCUGGGCCUCAUCGCGCCGUGGACUAUCAACGUCACCCGCAGCUAUAAAGAGCCCGCCUUGGUCACGACAGUUCAGUGGGCACGUCGGCUGGCCUCCUGUCAACAUGAGGCUAAAUCCAUUCCUGUUCUUCAUGCAGGGUGAAGGGCACAUUUUGUGAGUCUCCUGCCACCUGAAUCUACAGCACAACACCCCAAGGGUUAAGCUGAUUGGUCAGGAGAAAGACCACAUGCUUUCAACCACAGUGGCCAUUGUAUCUACUCAGGACUAUCAGUAUCUUCUGCAGCAGCGACCAUGCUUGCCAUGAGAUCAGCCUACAGUCCAUGCAGAAAUGGUGUUUGUAAUGAAGCGCUUAUUUCAGGCAAAUGGUGUUACCGGUUAUUUGUUGUAGGCUUUUUCAGUUGCUUCAUUGGCUCCUUUUGCCAACUUCUGCAUUUGUUUUGUUGUUUUGUGUUUGAACAAAAACAUUGUUUUUGUUCCAAAGGUGAUCUUUGCUUUCUCGAUUUAUGCAGUUUUGACUAUGCCUUCCACUGCAAGGUGGCUGAGCAACUGACCGAUGUGUGUCACGAAGUUCACCAUGUUCUGUGUGUUUUAUACAUUGUACCAGUACAAAUAAAGAUCAGUUGACAGCAAGUGCA